AGUACUGAACAAAUAUUUGAAAUGAACUGAUUCUAAUGAUUCAGUUACACUGAAAGCAACUGCUUUACAAGUCACUAGUCACUCGUGUGUGUGUGUUCUGUGUGUGUGUGCAUGCGUGAAACAAAGUCACGGCAGUUUCAUGCAGCCGUAUAUUGAUGACUCUGCCCACGUUGAGUAGGUACUAUUUUUGUAGUGGAAAGUGAAUUAUGUUUUUAUCACUUCAGAUAACUCCUUCAUCAACCCCGAGCUGCAGAGGAUCUUUGAGUGGGUCCGACAGAGCGCAGACUUCAUGCCCACUUGGCAGAUAAAUAACGUUUUAGAGGAAGAUCUGGGCCCUGGAUGCAGAGAAAAACUGUCCUCUUUUGAAGACAAACCAUUUGCUGCUGCUUCCAUUGGCCAGGUGCAUCAUGGUCCUGAAAUAGCCAUGAAGAUUCAGUAUCCUGGAGUAGCAGAGAGUAUCCAGUGACAAAUAAUCUCAUGUCUGUGCUGAAAAUGAGUGUGGUCGUGCCUGAAGGUAACACAUACAUCACUGUUUGUUGUACUCCUGAUUAUGCAUGAUAUUUUACUUACUAUUUUUCAUUAUCUUAAUUCUAGUGCUGUCAGUUAAACGCGUUAACGGUGUUAACACAAACCCAUUUUAACGGCGUCAAUUUUUUUAGCGCGAGACUAGCGUUCUUUUUGGCCG